ACCCAACAGCGGAGCCACCGCGGGGCCGGGGACGUCCAAGCCGGUGGCCGAGCAAUCCCAGGCGCCUGUCCGCGGCGGCGAUGGGGACCCGGGGUGGGCCGCGACCCAGGCCCGGCCAGGGUCCACCCUUCCGUGCAGAGCUGCGGGGGCGGCGGCGGGCGGGCGCAGCCGAGCCCCCGAGCGCACAUGGGCUCCCGAGAUGUGGCCGCGGGCCUGGCAGCUGGAGCGGGAGCUGCCGCCAGAGGAGCGCGGGAAGAGGCGAGGAGGAGAAGGGAGAGAGGGCUUCAGAGGCAGCCCGGAGUUACCUCCACUCUCGGCUCCCCCGCCCCCGCUGCCCCGAACCACUCACCCUCGGGGCCACCACCUUCUUCACUCCAAGCUCCUUAGGACCUCCAGCCUCCUCGCCCCGCUCGCCCAGUCCCCGGAUGGGCUGGCUCCGGGUCACCAAGGUUGUCACCGUUUGAGGAUAACUGGGAGCGCCCCGCCGGCGCCUGCGUCCGCCUUCUCCGCUGUGCUAAGAGCGCGCUGCCGAGGUCGCUGUGGCAAAGGGACUAACCCUCUGCUAUCACUAGUGCUUGGGGGCCUGGGAGCGUGGAGGUCGCCUAGGCCACCUGAGAAAAGUUUAUGGGCAAAGUAGAGCUGGAGUUGAUGGAGUGGAGAACGGAGAGGCCAAACAAACCAGGUGUCUGCGACGCCACUGCGCGCCCUGACCUUGAGCAGCGAGUUUAGGGGUGGUGGUGACACGGUGUCUGUCGGUCCCGAAGGGUCUUGACACUAGCUGCGGGGCUCUGGGCUGGCUGAUCACCCGGUGCAGCAGACCGUGCGCCUCCAGCGCCCUGGAGCGUCGGAAAAGUGGGUGAGUUGGAUUCAGUUCGCGCGCGUCUACUUAAGUGCGCAGGUGUCGCGUGGGAGGCAACAAGGGACACGGUGUGCGCUGCGAAAGCGGUCGGACGUCAGCGGGGCGCUGGGUGACUCUCAGCUUGGUGGGCUUGAGUCUGAGGGCUCAUCCUGGGGGAGCUGCGCCUGGAGGGGACUUGGGGGCUGCCGAAACGCAGCCGCUGCUACUGCGCCACCGCCUCAUGACCGCGCUGCAGCCUCGGGCUCCGGCGAGCGACUCAUGCCUUGCAAGGGGUGCGAGCGGAACGGCUGGGUGAUAGACCUGGAGAGCGCAGGAUUCUGGCCUCUGAGGCUAGAGUGAACUGGGUCCAGCGUGGCUCUGGCUCCCGCCUUCCCCAAGUGGCUCGAGUGACGGGCGCUCUGUUAGGCUGGAGACUUUUAUACCGAGUUCCCUCCGCCUCCUUCCUCCCCAGAGCCAGCCCAGCCCUUCCCUCCCGGUGAGCCCAGCCCUAGUCAAGCGUGAGCACGCGUUCCCACAACCCUUGUCAAACAUUUCCAUUUCUCAUGCGCAACCCAGGACCCUUGGACAAAUCCUUCAGAUUCUCCAUAGGUGAAUGAAAUUAAAUAAAUAAAUCAAACUUUCCUAUUGGCACGUCACUCUUCCCUCGUUUUCUACCUCUUUCUAUGACCACUGGAAACGGACAGAAGACUCCUAACUAAACUGUCUUAAGAGUUCAAAUCUUUUCUUUGGAAACUCCAAGAUGAAUUUCUUUGCCACUCCAAACGUUCCUUGGUUCGCCGUAGUAUUAGCGUUUUAUAGAAUUUAACUAGUUGUGGUUAAGUAUGCUGUUUGCAACUGUUUGUAGCCGGUUAACCCACUGCCUCUUUGAAAAUGCUGGCAACAUCUUUAAAAUUCUAGCCAAACGCAGCAGCUCAUUAAUAAAUUUGUAGCUAUUUAUAAAGUGCAGGACGCCAUCCUUUUCCUUUUCGUUAAGGGUGGGCGUCCCCUCCCUGACAGAGUGCUCGCUUUCAACUGUUAGGCUGCCUGGCAUCCCAUUGCUAUCUUCAGGCUCUGAAACACUAAUAAUUGUCAACUGGAGCGCUGAGGGAAGAAAUUGAAACAAUAAACCUUGGUGGUUCAGAUGGGAGAUCAAAGGGGAUUCUAGCAGCUUUGGAAUCCCAUAAGGAUUCCCCUGCGUGUUUUCUAAUUAGAGUCACUUAAGAGCAUCAGGCAGCCUAAUCAGCACACAGGUGGAAUAUAUAAAUUAAGAUGGCAAGCCAGAAUCCUGUGGCCAUAGAUAUGUGGACUUUCCAGGUGGUGGGGUAGACACACAGAGGCGACAAAUGACUCCUGUUGGGCUGUUCUAGAUUAGGGCUAAGGGAUACUGUAUUUUGCCUUUUUUCCCCCACACAGUCUCCUCAUGUGAGCCUCAACUGCAUUUCUCUCAUCCAAAAGUUACAAUUUUUUUCUCCUAAGGAAAAAUGACUAAAGAAAAAAGUGUGGGAAGAAACUCUUGCAGGGAAUGUAAAUUCUUACAAAAUUAUAGAUGGAGAUUUAAAGAUCAAAGUCUUUAUAAAAUGUUGUAAAAUUGUAAAUUGAGUUUGGGGUUAGAUGCUUUUAUUAAAUGUUGAACUAAUGUAUGAGUGAAUGCUACUGAAGUCCCUUCAAUCUGGGCGACCCAAAUUCCAGAUGAAUUUAUACUCUGGUAAGCACAUGCCAGUUGCAUUCUCAAAGCAAUGCUACCAGCAGCACCCUGUUUCUGAGGGCUUAGGGAACAUUGGCUUACACAUCACAUGAAAAGGGAACCAUGUGUCUAAUGUGUCACCAAAUUCUGUUUCAAGGGCAUUUCUGAAAUUGUCUCAGGAGCUGAUGAAAGUUUGAAAACAGUCCUACAUCCUUCAAAAUCUCCAAGGCACUAUAUUCACAUCUUUUUUUUUUCCCCCUGCCUUACUGCAUUCCCAUAGAAUGUGUCUAUUAUUCUGUCUGUAUUCCCAGAAAACCUGGAUUAGGCCAUCUCUGUGGUAGAGCAUUUUAGAAGCCCACUCGACCCCAGUAUACUAUUUCUUUCUUCCUAAAUUUGCAUCUAGAAGACAUUUUCUUGCCACAUUUGGAUCUAGGUAGGAGUGUGGAGUCUUAGUAGUUUUAAGACUCCUGAGUGAUUAUCAACAAGGACUCAGGCUUCCCUUUCACUAUGGCAGAACUAAGAUGUAGAAGGAGACCUUACUCAGAGUGUUGUUCAGAAGAGAGUCAUUGAACUAGAAAUAUCUGCAAUUUGUUCAAGUGAAAAAAUAACCCUUUUAAAUUCAAACACACAUGAUUUUCUGAUAUUUACAACUAUCAUCACCUCCCAAGACAGGUACCAUCUUCACAGAUAACUGCCUGAUCAUCAUUUGAGUACAGGACUUACACAAGGUAAGGGGCUUCAUUAAGACAUUUACACACAUGCAUAUAAUAUACUUUAAUCAUAUUCAAACCUCUGUUGUCCUUUCCGAUCCUUUGUUCUCCUCCCCACCUUUCCCCCUUUUCACAGUUGGCUUUCUGUUGCUACAAUAAGCCCCAUGACUAAGGCAACUCGGGGAUCAUUUCAUCUUACAGCCCAUAAUGGAGGGAAGGCAGGGCAGGAACUCAAGGCAGGACCUGAGGCAGAGGCCAUGGAGGAGUGUUGCUUUCUGGCUUGCUUUUUCUGGCUGGCUCAGCCUACUUUCCUGUGUAUCCCAGGCUCAUCUCCUCAGGAAUGGCACUGCCCCAGUGGUCUCAGCCCUCCUUUAUCAAUUAGCAGUUAAGAAUAUUCCAUAGAGAGAUACCCACAGGGUAAUCUGGUAGUGACAUCUCCUCAAUUGAAAUGAGAUGAUCCUUUUCUCAGAUGAUCCUGGCUUGUGUGAAGUUGACAAAAAGUUAAGCAGUACAACUAAGUCUUUAUCAACCUGACACACAAAUGCAUCAUUAUUGAGCAAUAAGUUUUUUUUUUAAUCCACAAGAUCUAAUGUAUUUAAAGAUGUUAUCUAGAUAAACACACUUAAGCUGUAUUCACCUCUGUGAGGACAGAGUGUCUAGUGACACUACGCAUGUGUAAAGCUUUUGAUAUUUUGUGACAAAGCAACAAAAGCCUAAUGGUGCAAGUUGGUGGCUUCUAGCAUCAGGGGAUGAAGUGACAAAGGAAAAGAAUGAGCUCAUGCUCCAAUUCACUGGCUUCAGAUGCACACAAACAGUCUAAAAGUUUCUAAGUGUGCCCUGUUAGAUAGUCUUUUUCCCAGCAGCCUUACAGUUCAAGUCGUUGAAAGUCAAACUCAAACUCUCAUUCUAAGAUUGACUGAGUGGCAAUGAAAAUUCCAGCCGCAAGCUCAGAGGAUUCCAUCAGUUAAAAGUAAGGACACUGGCUGAUACAGAGUGGGAUUUCAUAACUUCUGACCAGUAAUUUUUUUUUUUUUUUGUCAACUUGACUGCAUCUGGAAUCAACAGAAGUCCAAGUGGCUGUGAUGAAUUUUCUUAAUCAGAUUAUUUGAGGAAGACCUCCAUCCUGGCAUCAGUAUUUACCCUAGUUAUAUUUCCUAUUGCUGAGAUAAACAACAUGACCAAAAAGCAUCUUAAGAAGGAAAGGGUUUAUAUCACCUUAUAGCUUAUAUGUCACCUUAGAGUCUUCAUGGGAAGAAGAUAGCAUAGGAACUCAAUGUAGCAGCUGAAACAGAGGCCACCAAGAAGAAGGAGUACUACUUAGUGGCUUAGUCUCCAAGGCUUGUGAAACUAACUUUCUUAUGCAGCCCACCGGCACAGGGAUGGGGCCACCAGCCAUGGGCUGGGGCCCAUCUCAACACCACACAUUAAUCGAAUUUCAUAGCAGUCAUUAAUCAAAAAGGGAAAAGAUGCCCCAAAGGCUUGAGUACAGGCAGUCUUGUGAAUGCCAUUUCUCAAAUGAAGUUCCUUUCCCCCAGAGGAUCCCAGUUUAUGUCACCUUGACAAGAUCUAACCAGCAUGUCUUUCCACAUCCCUAAUGGGACUUCUUUAAUGGGAUAGGUAUCUUUGUGGUUGAAUAGAAUUUGUUAUAUAUGUAUUGUACACACACAAAUUUCCAUUUUUAAAAAUCCAUUCAUCUGUUGAUGAAUAGCUAAGCUGGUUGGUUCUAUGUCUUGUAACUAGUGCAGCAGUGAACAUGGAUAUGAACUCAUCUGUAUGGUAUGCUGACUUAGAUAUAUAUAUAUAUAUAUAUAUAUAUAUAUAUACACACACACACUUCAAGUAUUUAUGCUCAAGAGUGUUAUAAUUGGAUCAUAUGAUAAUUCUAGUUUAAUUUUUUGAUAGAGCCAUACUGAUUCCUAUAGUGUCAGACUAGCUAUGCCCUUGCCAAUAUAUGUUGUUCUUUUUGAAAGUCACUCUAGUCAGAGUGAGAUGCAGAGUUUUGGUUUGCAUUUCCUUGAUGGCUAAGGAUAUUGGAUAUUCUGUUUGUCAUUUCUUUUGACUCUACUUAAUAAAUCAGCUCCUAUUGGACUCUCUUCUGAUUAUUACUGUUACCUCUUCUAUGAUUUUAUUGUAUGUUCUUUCAUAGAUUUUUAUACUUAUUAUCAAUCGUAUUUACAGGGCAGUUCUGCCUAGCUCACACUACUACUUGAAGAAAUCAAGACUCAAUGCCUACAGAUGUUCUCGUUGAUAACACCAUGGUUCCAUUAAGGUCUUUUAUGGUAGAAAGUUUGAUGUUAAAUGUUACUAAAGAGAGGUAUAACAUAUAUAUAUAUACAUAUAUGUAUAUAUGUAUAUAUAUAUCACAUACUAUAAACAUAUGCAGAAGCAAAGGGAAAACAGAAGAAAUUCUCAUAUAACCUCAACAAACUUCAACAAAAAUCACAGCUGGUUUCAUUACCUAAACAGUGGUCUUCUUGCUUGUACUUUGUUUUCUGUAGUUCUAGUGAUCCCAGAUCAACUGUAGUUUGAAAAUACUAAUAAAAAUUAGUAAAGCCCAGAAAUAAAUAUUUAAGGAUUUUCAAAUUGACAAUGAUUCUGAGCAGCGUGAUGAAAUCUCCAAGUGUUCUACUGCAUCCGUACUGGGAUGGAUCAUAUUUCUCUCCACUGUAUGCUCUGCUUGUCACCUUAACAUGGUAAAUUCUUGGUUAUCAGAUCAUCUCCUGUGGUGUUCCAGUGUUUGUGUUAUACUAGAAAUUAUACUAGAAGCAGUCUCACAGUAUGUCUAGAAGUUUUGUCUUUGAUCUAACGUCGUCUUCCUAGGUAGAAACAACAUAAUCUGGCUCAUCCCAGAAAGAUGAAAUAAGGUAUUUUGAGAGAUGAUGUUCAUAUGAAGUUAUUAUUGUACAUUGUUGUACUUGUUCAGUUUUAAUUUAUAUCUAGGAACGUGCGUAGGGGAAAGAACACCGCAGGUAUCAUAUGGCAGUGUGUGGAGUUUCAGGCACCCAUUGGGGGACAGAGAGGUACCAUCGAGUUCUCACAAACUUCUUAAGUUUCUUAAGUUUGUAGUUUGUAAAGCAAACUACACCAUAGAAUUUUAUGCACACAUAUAUGUUUAAUAUGUGUUCUAACUGCUCAAUGGAGUAAAAAUAAAUGUGCAUAUUUUAUAUGGGCUUUAAAGGAAGCCAGAGAGGUCAAAACAAGUCUUCCUCUGAGUGUAUAAAUAAGUGGAGGCUGUUAGGUGUUCACCACAACCUCUUUCUCUUCACCCUUAGACCACAUUGACUUCAUUCCCCAGUGUCCUUUGUAGUUGGGUAGUCAUGUGACUGUGAUCUGGCCAACAGAAGGUGAUUGGAGAUGAUAUGAGUGUCCCUUCCCCCUUCCAGACCUUGACUUUAAAGCCUCGGAGGUGGGGCUAUCUUUUUUUAUUUUUCCUUGUUGGUUGCAUGUUUCUGCCCAGGUAACCUUACAGUAUUAUCAGCUGAGUCCUUGGGGCAGAUACUUUACCCAACCCUCCGUUAGCUGAAGAACUGUUGUGUGAUUUAAAAGGAAACUCCUUUUGAUGUGUUAAGUCACUGAUAUCUUAAGAGUUCGUUAUAGAUGCUUGCCCUGGAGACAUUGACUACUGCAGAAGAUUAAGGUUCUCAAAGAAGAAGAUGGCUCACUUUUUCUUCAGGGGACUCCACACCAAUCAUUUUGGUCCCUUUCCCCCCAAAAAGGUUCCUGUCACACAUGCAGCUUCACCGUUUCAAGGAGAACACAGCCAUUAAAAGGGCAGGAACAAAUGGGUGAGGCUGUUUCGAUAAAACACACAACUAGUGGGGCAUGUGACUUAGUUUGACUGUCAUUGUGGUGGGAGACUAGUGUGUCUCCCCACCUCAUCUUAAGUUCCUUGAAGGCAUUGUAUUACUGUGGAGUUCAGGGGAGCUCAGUUCUAUCCACUGGCCAUACUCUUGAGUCUUGAAUCUUGGUUUUCCUGAUUGUAAACUGGUGCUGAGAAUGUCUCUUUCAGGACUGCUGUGAAGUUCAGCUGUCAUGUUCACCUAUAAGAAAGCUAAGGAGUCAUGUGACUCCAUUAGGGGUCAGAAUGCUCAGAAGUGAGAAAAUCACGACGUCUGAGGCGCACUCAGGGGCUCCUCCCCUGAAGGCAGCUGCUGGGUUUGCUGGACACCUGGGCUCUGGUGACACCGUUCCCAGCACUCCACCGCACACACAAUGUGUGAACACUGAGAGGACACCUGUGGCUCGCUCUGCUUUACCCACAAAGGCCAAGAGAUCACGGAGUACUUUUCUGGCUUGUUCAUUUAUCUAUCUCUUUAGUCUCUCACCUGAACUACGAAGUUCUUUUCAUUGCUUUUGCUUUAUGAUAACUGUUUCUGUAUAAAAUCUGGAAAGCAAAACAAACCAGUGACAUGCUCUGCCUGGAGGAGGAAAGCACUUUCCUAUUACAACUUAUAUUAUUAUAUAUUAUAUAAUUAUAACUUAUAUUAUUUCAACUUCUGAAAAUGUCUAGGCCCAAGAGAAAGCAUACAAUUGAGUUGCAAUUUAAACUCAGAGUGGAGAUGUCAGUUUACAAAUGAGGUCUAGAUGAUAUAUAGAUAUUCUCAAUAUUGUAUAGGGACUUAGAGGCAGUGUCUGAAAAGGAACCAGAUGACUAAAUGCUCUUCUAUUUUUUAAGGUAAUUUUCUCUACAUGGUUCUUACACAAAAAUGAGUGCACUUUUAUGUAUGUAACUUAGUGGAAUCCUCAUGGCUCAGCUCCAGAAGGUAAAUGCUUUCCUCUCCAGAACCCAGCACCCAAACAUUGCUAAUAUUCUGAUUUCUGUAAGCCUGCCUUUGAUUUGUCUUUUGAAAAAUGAAUAUACAUUGAAUACACA
rnacentral:sRNA from 1 species